rnacentral:rRNA from 1 species
UACGUAGGGGGCUAGCGUUAUCCGGAAUUACUGGGCGUAAAGGGUACGUAGGUGGUUUUUUAAGUCAGAAGUGGAAGGCUACGGCUCAACCGUAGUAAGCUUUUGAAACUGAGAAACUUGAGUGCAGGAGAGGAGAGUAGAAUUCCGUAGUGUAGCGGUGAAAUGCGUAGAUAUUAGGAGGAAUACCAGUUGCGAAGGCGGCUCUCUGGACUGUAACUGACACUGAGGCACGAAAGCGUGGGGAGCAAACAGG